rnacentral:rRNA from 1 species
AUUGAACGCUGGCGGCAGGCUUAACACAUGCAAGUCGAGCGGGGGAAGGUAGCUUGCUACCGGACCUAGCGGCGGACGGGUGAGUAAUGCUUAGGAAUCUGCCUAUUAGUGGGGGACAACAUCUCGAAAGGGAUGCUAAUACCGCAUACGUCCUACGGGAGAAAGCAGGGGAUCUUCGGACCUUGCGCGAAUAGGUGAGCCUAAGUCGGAUUAGCUAGUUGGUGGGGUAAAGGCCUACCAAGGCGACGAUCUGUAGGGGGUCUGAGAGGAUGAUCCGCCAAACUGGGACUGAGACACGGCCCAGACUCCUACGGGAGGUAGCAGUGGGGAAUAUUGGACAAUGGGGGGAACCCUGAUCCAGCCAUGCCGCGUGUGUGAAGAAGGCCUUAUGGUUGUAAAGCACUUUAAGCGGGGAGGAGGCUACUUUAGUUAAUACCUAGAGAUAGUGGACGUUACUCGCAGAAUAAGCACCGGCUAACUCUGUGCCAGCCGCCGCCGUAA